rnacentral:rRNA from 1 species
UGGGGAAUAUUGCACAAUGGGCGAAAGCCUGAUGCAGCAACGCCGCGUGCGGGAUGACGGCCUUCGGGUUGUAAAACCGCUUUCAGCAGGGACGAAGGUUUUCUGACGGUACCUGCAGAAGAAGCACCGGCUAACUACGUACCAGCAGCCGCGGUGAUACGUAGGGUGCGAGCGUUGUCCGGAAUUAUUGGGCGUAAAGAGCUUGUAGGCGGUCCGUUGCGUCGGAAGUGAAAACUCAGGGCUUAACCCUGAGCCUGCUUUCGAUACGGGCGGACUUGAGGGAUGUAGGGAGAACGGAAUUCCUGGUGGAGCGGUGGAAUGCGCAGAUAUCAGGAGGAACACCAGUGGCGAAGGCGGUUCUCUGGACAUUUCCUGACGC